GAUGAAGAACGUAGCGAAAUGCGAUACGUAAUGUGAAUUGCAGAAUUCAGUGAAUCAUCGAGUCUUUGAACGCACAUUGCGCCCCCUGGUAUUCCGGGGGGCAUGCCUGUCCGAGCGUCAUUGCUGCCCUCAAGCACGGCUUGUGUGUUGGGCUCCGUCCCCCGAUCCCGGGGGACGGGCCCGAAAGGCAGCGGCGGCACCGCGUCCGGUCCUCGAGCGUAUGGGGCUUUGUCACCCGCUCUGUAGGCCCGGCCGGCGCUUGCCGAUCAACCAAAUUUUUAUCCAGGUUGACCUCGGAUCAGGUAGGGAUACCCGCUGAACUUAAGCAUAUCAAUAAGCGGAGGA
rnacentral:misc_RNA from 1 species